rnacentral:rRNA from 1 species
CCUACGGGAGGCAGCAGUGGGGAAUAUUGGACAAUGGGGGGAACCCUGAUCCAGCCAUGCCGCGUGUGUGAAGAAGGCCCUCGGGUUGUAAAGCACUUUCAGUGAGGAAGAACGCCUGGUGGUUAAUACCCAUCAGGAAAGACAUCACUCACAGAAGAAGCACCGGCUAACUCCGUGCCAGCAGCCGCGGUAAUACGGAGGGUGCGAGCGUUAAUCGGAAUUACUGGGCGUAAAGCGCGCGUAGGUGGCUUGAUAAGCCGGUUGUGAAAGCCCCGGGCUCAACCUGGGAACGGCAUCCGGAACUGUCUAGCUAGAGUGCAGGAGAGGAAGGUAGAAUUCCCGGUGUAGCGGUGAAAUGCGUAGAGAUCGGGAGGAAUACCAGUGGCGAAGGCGGCCUUCUGGACUGACACUGACACUGAGGUGCGAAAGCGUGGGUAGCAAACAGGAUUAGAUACCCGAGUAGUC